AGCCCCGUACACAAAAAUGCACAUGCUGUGAGCUCGAUGAGUAGGGCGGGACACGUGGUAUCCUGUCUGAAUAUGGGGGGACCAUCCUCCAAGGCUAAAUACUCCUGACUGACCGAUAGUGAACCAGUACCGUGAGGGAAAGGCGAAAAGAACCCCGGCGAGGGGAGUGAAAAAGAACCUGAAACCGUGUACGUACAAGCAGUGGGAGCACAGAGCAAUCUGUGUGACUGCGUACCUUUUGUAUAAUGGGUCAGCGACUUAUAUUCUGUAGCAAGGUUAACCGAAUAGGGGAGCCGAAGGGAAACCGAGUCUUAACUGGGCGUUAAGUUGCAGGGUAUAGACCCGAAACCCGGUGAUCUAGCCAUGGGCAGGUUGAAGGUUGGGUAACACUAACUGGAGGACCGAACCGACUAAUGUUGAAAAAUUAGCGGAUGACUUGUGGCUGGGGGUGAAAGGCCAAUCAAACCGGGAGAUAGCUGGUUCUCCCCGAAAGCUAUUUAGGUAGCGCCUCGUGAAUUCAUCUCCGGGGGUAGAGCACUGUUUCGGCAAGGGGGUCAUCCCGACUUACCAACCCGAUGCAAACUGCGAAUACCGGAGAAUGUUAUCACGGGAGACACACGGCGGGUGCUAACGUCCGUCGUGAAGAGGGAAACAACCCAGACCGCCAGCUAAGGUCCCAAAGUCAUGGUUAAGUGGGAAACGAUGUGGGAAGGCCCAGACAGCCAGGAUGUUGGCUUAGAAGCAGCCAUCAUUUAAAGAAAGCGUAAUAGCUCACUGGUCGAGUCGGCCUGCGCGGAAGAUGUAACGGGGCUAAACCAUGCACCGAAGCUGCGGCAGCGACACUGUGUGUUGUUGGGUAGGGGAGCGUUCUGUAAGCCUGUGAAGGUGUGCUGUGAGGCAUGCUGGAGGUAUCAGAAGUGCGAAUGCUGACAUAAGUAACGAUAAAGCGGGUGAAAAGCCCGCUCGCCGGAAGACCAAGGGUUCCUGUCCAACGUUAAUCGGGGCAGGGUGAGUCGACCCCUAAGGCGAGGCCGAAAGGCGUAGUCGAUGGGAAACAGGUUAAUAUUCCUGUACUUGGUGUUACUGCGAAGGGGGGACGGAGAAGGCUAUGUUGGCCGGGCGACGGUUGUCCCGGUUUAAGCGUGUAGGCUGGUUUUCCAGGCAAAUCCGGAAAAUCAAGGCUGAGGCGUGAUGACGAGGCACUACGGUGCUGAAGCAACAAAUGCCCUGCUUCCAGGAAAAGCCUCUAAGCAUCAGGUAACAUCAAAUCGUACCCCAAACCGACACAGGUGGUCAGGUAGAGAAUACCAAGGCGCUUGAGAGAACUCGGGUGAAGGAACUAGGCAAAAUGGUGCCGUAACUUCGGGAGAAGGCACGCUGAUAUGUAGGUGAAGUCCCUCGCGGAUGGAGCUGAAAUCAGUCGAAGAUACCAGCUGGCUGCAACUGUUUAUUAAAAACACAGCACUGUGCAAACACGAAAGUGGACGUAUACGGUGUGACGCCUGCCCGGUGCCGGAAGGUUAAUUGAUGGGGUCAGCGCAAGCGAAGCUCUUGAUCGAAGCCCCGGUAAACGGCGGCCGUAACUAUAACGGUCCUAAGGUAGCGAAAUUCCUUGUCGGGUAAGUUCCGACCUGCACGAAUGGCGUAAUGAUGGCCAGGCUGUCUCCACCCGAGACUCAGUGAAAUUGAACUCGCUGUGAAGAUGCAGUGUACCCGCGGCAAGACGGAAAGACCCCGUGAACCUUUACUAUAGCUUGACACUGAACAUUGAGCCUUGAUGUGUAGGAUAGGUGGGAGGCUUUGAAGUGUGGACGCCAGUCUGCAUGGAGCCGACCUUGAAAUACCACCCUUUAAUGUUUGAUGUUCUAACGUGGACCCGUGAUCCGGGUUGCGGACAGUGUCUGGUGGGUAGUUUGACUGGGGCGGUCUCCUCCUAAAGAGUAACGGAGGAGCACGAAGGUUGGCUA
rnacentral:rRNA from 1 species